AAAAGCCUUUCUAAGCAGCUGCCUGUCCUUUUAGGACUGGAUGUAGGUUUCUGCCUCUCUUUUUGGCCCUGGCAUUGCUGGCCCCAACCACAUGCCUGAUUGCCCGGGAAGAACAGCCUUUGAAAUUCAGCAUCUGCUUCUGGGUAGUUGGUUGAACAAGCCCACCUGACCAAGAGAGGGAAGCACGCUAACUUUUCAGUUUGGACACUCUUGGGGGCUUUUUAGUAAUUGCAUGUGUUUCUGAGCAAGUGAGUGUCUUUUGUGGGUACUAGACAACAGGAUCUGCUCCUGUCAACUAGGGACAGUCUGAAGAAUUUUGGUGUGCAAGUUCAUCAAGCUCAUCCCAUGGAAAGAGGAAGCUCCGCUGUUUCAGUUUGGACACUCUUGGGGUUUGUUGGUUGCUGCAGCACUUGGAUUGUAUUUUGGUGAUUGUUUAUUUGUGUAUGUCAAUAUAGCCAUGGGAAGUAAGAAUUUGAUAAGCUGAUAAUCUUAUGUAAUACUGUUUGGCCUCAUAUCUUUGAAUCUGGAUAAGUUUGGCCUCUCCAUGUGCCUCGUUUUGCUGCUGAAUGGCAAAGCAGGGUGGAGUUUUGUGUAUUCAGGCUUUUAUGCUGUUGUUCAAAGCAAGGUCAGGCUUGAUUAGUACAUGAUGUUCUUCUGUGGUUUUUUCUGGCUCCAGUCAUCCUUGGAGUGUGGAGAGGUUUAGCCUUUAAAAAUCAAAAUGCCACAGAAACUGCUAUACCCAAAACUUUGGUUCACAACCUUCAUUGGAUUGCCUUUCAGGGCAAAAGAAGUUUAGCCAUGUGAACGUGUUCAUAAGCCUGUGAGUUUGUAUUGGUAUCUCAUGGCUAGAGUUCCAAGCAUUUCUGCUGUUCAAAUUCUCUCUGCACUUCAUGACAGCAUCUACAUUCAAGAUUCCCAGAGGCACCAUCCACAAAGCUCUACAGCAUUUAGAUGGAGUUGCAAUUUGUUUCUAAGACAGAGGACAAGAAAUAUGAAGAAGCCUUUCCCUGGAGGCUGAUCCACGUGAUUCAGGAGAGGAAAUGUUUAGAGUUAGAAAGACUCCAUACAGUGCCUAGCUCCAGAUAAGGCUCAUGGUUCUUUCACAGUUAUGUCUGAAUAUGAAUGUGGCUUUUAUAUACGUGGGUUGCUUUUUAAAUGAAAGGUAAUUUUCUUUUUUAUCAGUCUGAGAGACAAAAACCAAUGGAUGUGUGAAGUACUGGAGUGAUGUUAACAGGAGCCCUGAGUGCACUGACUGUCCGCCUUGCAGUCCCACACUGUUGGCUUAGAGACCAGAAGAAGGAUCUAGGAGCAGGGAGAGAUCUGUGGAUCCUCUUUGUAUUCCCUCUAAUGAAGGUGUGAAGGUUAGAGGAAAAAUACUGUUACCCAGGUCAUUGAAAAUACCACGGGUAAUUUUAAUUUCUACUGGAUUACUGUAAUUUUGUUUUCUUUUUUUAGUUUUUAGAUUUUUUUUAUCAUUGACUCUUGCUUUUUUAUUAUUAACAGUCAUAUUGGCUACAUAAAAUGUAUAACAAACAUUACAUUAUUUAGUAUAAUCUGUAAUAAGCUAUGUAAAAUGAGAACUACAUGUCCCUUAAGAGUUUAAAAGAACUUUGAGUAAAACUGCAUUUCUUUGAAAAUUUUAAGGAAAAAAAAAAGAUAUUUUAAAGUUUUACAAAGUGAAGUCCCUCUAAUACCAAAUUUUCUUUGCAGUCUCUUAGGAUAGAGUUACUGAGCCUGUAUUUCAGCAUUCUAGAUCCAAACAAAAAGUGGCAAUCACCUCUUUGAUUGAUGAUUUACUGUAUUGGAAGACUUUGAGAAUUCAUUUUAAAAUUAAGUAUAUCCAAAAGAUAAUUUUAUUUAUGA